rnacentral:rRNA from 1 species
AACGCGAAGAACCUUACCUGGGUUUGACAUGCACAGGACGCGUCUAGAGAUAGGCGUUCCCUUGUGGUCUGUGUGCAGGUGGUGCAUGGCUGUCGUCAGCUCGUGUCGUGAGAUGUUGGGUUAAGUCCCGCAACGAGCGCAACCCUUGUCUCAUGUUGCCAGCGCGUUAUGGCGGGGACUCGUGAGAGACUGCCGGGGUCAACUCGGAGGAAGGUGGGGAUGACGUCAAGUCAUCAUGCCCCUUAUGUCCAGGGCUUCACACAUGCUACAAUGGCCGGUACAAAGGGCUGCGAUGCCGUGAGGUGUAGCGAAUCCUUUAAAGCCGGUCUCAGUUCGGAUCGGGGUCUGCAACUCGACCCCGUGAAGUCGGAGUCGCUAGUAAUCGCAGAUCAGCAACGCUGCGGUGAAUACGUUCCCGGGCCUUGUA